GAAUGCUGGAUUACAACCUUCAUCUCAACACAAGGAAAACUGAGAUAGAAGAAUUGCUUGAGUUGGGGGGUCUACCUGAACUCCAUAGUAAGAUUCUAUCUCAAACAACAAUGCAUAAUAUAAAGCUCCAGGAGCAAGUGCUGGGUGCCUUAACAAAAAAUGUGAAGUCACAUAAUUCAAAGCAUUUUAUUCAGAUGUGUCAAAAAUUAAUCCAAACAAUAGAACAAGGUCAACUUGCCAAAAAUGACUGAGACCCACCAAGAAGUGAGAAGAAAACCCCUCAGAUAUAGUGUAUGAUAACAGCAUGUACCUGUCUGUCAACAGAACAGGGCCAGGAUAUAAAAUCACUUCUGUGGCAGCUGCCAGAAAGAGGCAGCAAACAACCCAUGCUUGACACAACCACCCAA